GAUGAACGCUGGCGGCGUGCCUAAUACAUGCAAGUCGAGCGAACGGACGAGAAGCUUGCUUUUCUGAUGUUAGCGGCGGACGGGUGAGUAACACGUGGAUAACCUACCUAUAAGACUGGGAUAACUUCGGGAAACCGGAGCUAAUACCGGAUAAUAUUUUGAACCGCAUGGUUCAAAAGUGAAGGACGGUCUUGCUGUCACUUAUAGAUGGAUCCGCGCUGCAUUAGCUAGUUGGUAAGGUAACGGCUUACCAAGGCAACGAUGCAUAGCCGACCUGAGAGGGUGAUCGGCCACACUGGAACUGAGCCACGGUCCAGACUCCUACGGGAGGCAGCAGUAGGGAAUCUUCCGCAAUGGGCGAAAGCCUGACGGAGCAACGCCGCGUGAGUGAUGAAGGUCUUCGGAUCGUAAAACUCUGUUAUUAGGGAAGAGCAUAUGUGUAAGUAACUGUGCACAUCUUGACGGUACCUAAUCAGAAAGCCACGGCUAACUACGUG
rnacentral:rRNA from 1 species